GCCACCUUUCUGAGAUCUCGAUAGCCUUACCUAUGUCCGAAAAGGUUUGUAUGUAGCAGAAGUAAAAGGCUGUUUGGGGGGAUUAGAAACCUUUGCAUAAUGGUCCAUGCUCAAUUCCAAACGUGGUCAGCAGCAGUCGGUGUCGUUUACUUUUCUAUAAUUGAAACCUAGUCAGACACUUGGCUUUUCUCUAGUUCAGCCAGGCUGCUGAUUAUUUUCUCCUUUCAGUAGAGACUGCCAAACAACUUAAUUCAAGAAGGCUUCCUUUGAGCUGGGAGCGGCUAUCUUUCCUAAGUGUAUCCCACGUCUUGAAAUUUUGCAGACAAUGCAUCUGCCUACACGUACGCCUGCCCUUCGUUCUCAACUAAAGACUGAGCCGUCUUCAGUUUCUGCGUCCUCCUGGCUUGGUUAAAGCCCUGUGAACCUACGGGGUAAGCAAGGGAAGGAAGCUAUGCUGUGAGGAACCUUUUGUAUGGAGCAGCGUCCGUAGCUGGUACCUGGGGGAGAAUGAGUACUCCAAAUGGAUUUCCGCAGCACUCGGGGGCGUGUGUUUCUCAGAGCACGGAGGGUGGAGCAGUACAGGACCUGCAUGCUAAAAAAGCUGGCAAAAUAGCAAAGAAGGAGGCUGGUGGCAAUGGGGUGCUUACCUUUGAAGAUCAUCCGAGCGCAGGCACCUCUUUGAAUGAAACCUUAAAGCUUCUACCAGAUGAACUCAAAGCUAAUAUGAAAAUUAAAUCGAUCACUCCAAGGCCUCCUCGGAAACCCCGGCUGGAGCGUGCUGCAUCUCUGGAUGAGAAAAGCUGGAGGAGGUGGAGGCGGUUUAGAACGAGUCAGGAAAGUCUGACUGAUCCCAAUGAGACAAGUUCCUCAAAUGGUUCUCUGCAGGAAGCGUCCCUCAGCCCUCCCGUCAGGGGCAGGGCGAGCCCCUGCCAUCAGUGCGUCCAACAGAAUUCCUUGCACAGUUCACCAGACGCCUCAGAAGCCAGUCCCCUGGGGAAGAGCAGAGGAGGCACCUCCGACCUGGGGAAACGAGCCUCUGAGAUCUCCAGUGCCUUUGGUGGGCUUUUGCGGGGCAAAGCGUUUGCAGGUGGCAAACCCCGGCUGUCCCAAAUAAUGCCAGCUCGACCUCUGCCACCCAUGGAGCUCAAUGUGGCCUCUCACACACUGAGGACAGCUAAUAGGAUUGACUCAGAUUAUAUGGAUUAUCGACAUUAUUCUCAGCACAAGUUUGGGAAGGUAAGCAGCAGCUUGAGCGAUACCAGGCUACAUGGCAAUGGGAUGGUCUAUGAUAAUUGCUCCACAGACUCCAUGAAAUCUACGUUCAGCCUGCUCACUCCCAUUCGCUCCAAGGAUGUUCGAAGCAGAAGCUAUUUGGAAGGCAGCCUUCUGGCGAAUGGUGCCUUACUGGGAGCAGAAGAACUUAGCAAAUAUUUCCCUGAUCGGAAUAUUGGAAUUUUUGUGGCCACCUGGAACAUGCAGGGUCAGAAGGAACUUCCAGUGAAUCUGGAUGACUUCUUAUUACCAACAGAUCCUGACUAUGCCCAGGACAUGUAUGUCGUUGGGGUUCAAGAAGGCUGUCCAGACAGACGAGAGUGGGAGAUCCGCCUGCAAGAGACGCUAGGUCCCCACUACGUCAUGCUCUACUCCGCCGCCCAUGGGGUGCUGUACAUGUCGGUCUUCAUUCGGAGGGACCUGAUCUGGUUCUGCUCAGAAGUGGAGUAUGCCACAGUGACAACUCGAAUCGUCUCUCAGAUCAAAACCAAGGGAGCUCUGGGAAUCUGCUUCACAUUUUUUGGGACCUCCUUUCUCUUCAUCACCUCCCACUUCACAUCUGGGGACAGUAAGGUGAAUGAGAGGAAACUGGACUACAAUAAAACCAUUCAAGCCCUUACCCUUCCCAAGAACGUUCCGGACACAAACCCGUAUCGAUCCAGUUCUAGUGACGUCACAACUCGGUUUGAUGAAGUGUUCUGGUUUGGUGACUUCAACUUCCGACUAAAUAAGGAUCGUGAGACUGUGGAUUCCAUCUUGAACCAGAACACGGGAACAGAUGUGUCCAAGCUACUGGCAUAUGACCAGCUUACAAGUGAAAUGAGCAGGGGGUCUAUUUUCAAAGGAUUCCAAGAGGCUGACAUUCAUUUCCGUCCUUCCUACAAGUUUGACAUAGGAAAGGACAGCUAUGACACCACUUCCAAACAAAGGACUCCUUCCUACACGGAUCGAGUUGUAUACCGCAGUCGGUACAGAGAUGACAUCCACGCUGUCAAGUACUCAUCUUGUCCUGUGAUCAAAACUUCAGACCAUCGGCCUGUAUUUGCCUUGUUUCGUGUGAAAGUGAGGCCUGGCAGAGACAACAUUCCACUUGCUGCAGGGCAGUUUGACAGAGAACUCUAUUUACUUGGAAUAAAGAGACGGAUUACAAGGGAACUUCAGAAACGGCAAGAGCAAAAGGACCAAAAAUCCAGCAGCGUAUGUAGCGUUUCCUGAGGUGAGAACUCUGCGAUGCUUCUGUUAGAGGUGCCCGGAAAGAGGAUUUCAGGCCAGGGCAAACUCUGCAGGGAAUUGUCUGCUUAACCACCUCCGGCAGUCGCUGUGGCUUGUGAAGAAUGUCUUAAACCUCAUCCUGGAUUCAUUUGCAUGAGCUAAUCCAUGUAGCUCAAGUGCUUUUGCUGAAGAAAAUGGAGUCUGUUGCUUAGGACAUCCAUCCCAACAGAUGUAAUGAUUUUUUUUUUUAACCGUACUAUCUUUGGAAGCAAAUGGAUGCAGUCUCCUGGUUCUAAGAUGACUCCACACAGGGGGCACAGCUUCUGGAGUUGGCAUGACCAGGGGCAGGGGACCUAAAAAAGCCUGCAGAAAGGGGUGAUGAAACACUACCUCGCUUCAGCAGCAGGACACGUGAGUUGAAAAUAAUGGCCUGAGUACAGCUACUGUGUAAUGCUUCACCAAAGCGAUUAACGCGCCAAGUGAGCACCAGGGAGGUAUGCGGAGAAACUGCAGCAAGGCAGAUGAGCGCAGUUCCAUUACCUCCGAUUACAGUUAAUUCCUUUUGGUUUUAUUUUUCCAAUUCAGUGAACUGUGAAUAACUUGCUGUUUUUGAAGUAGUGUUGUCUUAAGGCUAAGCAUACUACAUGGACCAGUAUGGCACUGGUAAAACGUUAAGUACAGCUAAUAACUUAAAAACUCUUCAUGGGCACAGAUCGGCUGGAUCAUUAAUCACCUUAGUACAUAAAACACCGUGCAAACAACUUGGAGGAAGUGCUGCUAACUAUGCAACCUGUCCAAGACAGAGCUUCUGUUCUGCGGUACAAACUUUUAUGGCACUGACCUGUCUGUAGCCAUCAGGUAUUUGGAUUUCCU